rnacentral:rRNA from 1 species
UGGGGAAUUUUGCACAAUGGGGGAAACCAUGAUGCAGCGACGCCGCGUGAUUUAGAAGGCCUUCGGGUUGUAAAAAUCUUUUCUAUGGGAAGAAAAUGACAGUACCAUAGGAAUAUGGACCGGCUAAUUACGUGCCAGCAGCCGCGGUAAUACGUAAGGUCCGAGCGUUGUCCGGAAUCAUUGGGCGUAAAGGGUACGUAGGCGGGUAAGCAAGUUAGAAGUGAAAUCCUAUAGCUCAACUAUAGUAAGCUUUUAAAACUGCUCAUCUUGAGGUAUGGAAGGGAAAGUGGAAUUCCUAGUGUAGCGGUGAAAUGCGCAGAUAUUAGGAGGAAUACCGGUGGCGAAGGCGACUUUCUGGCCAUAACCUGACGCUGAGGUACGAAAGCGUGGGUAGCAAACAGG